rnacentral:lncRNA from 1 species
UUAUCCACACAUGCGCGCAUGAUCACACUGAAAAGGUCGCGCAUUCAAAGAAAAAAGUGCUCAAGGUCAUGAGGUGCACAUGACGUUUUUCUGUUUCCCUACCAUCCCUCCCUGCUUAGCUUCCAGCGCUUUCGUCAGGACAAGAGAAGAGAAUGCAAUUGCAGCAUGCGAGAAUCUUUGUAACUCCACUCCCACUGGACGGACUCUUAAAAUUUUUGUAGCAUUUAAUUCAUAAGGCAAUAAGCUCUUCCAGUGAAUUCAUCCUAUAGUUACCUGAAAAAUUGUUUCAAUGCUUGUUUAAGAUGGGCUACAAGAAGGACUGUUGAAACUGGAGACAGUGUGGUGUUAUGGAUUAUGAACAGCUGGCAACUGGCUGAGAAUUUCUGCUAAUGUCUAGAAAUAGUAACUUCGCAGUAUUUGCAAGCAAUCUUGUCUCCCUGGUCUGUGUCAUCUUCCUGUGCAUCUCGGCCCGUGUCCUGUGUCAGCAAGGGAGCACCACGACUGCAGUCAAGUGCAAGGAAAAAGCCAAGCUUUGUAGAGUUUGUUUCUCGGCCAUCGAUCCCAUCCACUGGAUGCUACGUCCAAACCCGCAUGGCUUUCUCAUCCGGCCUGUGCCUCUUGGAUGGGCAUGGUAAUCCUCAAGUUACCCCUGUCCUGUGGCCAUGGCGUGUCUGCGGCCUGAAGGGUUCACCUCCCGGUUUUUGCCUCUAGCCUGCCUUCUGGUGAAUGCAUCAUACAGGGAAAUCCAUCACUGUGGUCUGCCCUUCGGUCUUCACUCCAUGUGAGGACCCCAGUCAAUGUUGCUGUUUGUCAUCACUCUACUGUGACCACCAGCAGAUGAAGUGUGGGUGUUGCCUCCAUGAGACAUGCCCGUGAUUUCUGGAUCCACCGUGGCCUACUAACUUCCCUUAAACAGCUGUGCAACAGCUUCACGUCGGUGAUCUACAACCUGUUAUUGUAAACAGCUGUUUUAAAGAUAGUCCCAGGACUUACAGGAUCUAUUGUGCCUCAAAAUGGUAUGCUUUUCACUGGCCAUACAGUGAAUCCAGUGUUUUUAGCAGCUGUGUCAAAUAUAUUUUACCAAUAUUGUGAAUUUAUUCGCACAAGCUUAAAAUUUGGUACAAUGUUUCACCAUCACGCUCACAUAUUUCAUGACCAUAUGCACCUUCAGUGUGAUCGGCAGACCCAUGUGCAUGUUUUAGGUCAUGAUAGAGGCAUCUGUUCACACUGCGUAAUGUAGUGGCAUAUUGACGCUGGUUUGCAUUAAACUGCAUAAAAAGCCGGCCAACUUGGUACAGAUUCAUCUAUCUGUAUGACAAAGAGCCUACAUUCUGGGUGUGCACGUGCGUUUAGCAUAUCUUGGGCAACACUCUUUAAGUUCAGCCAUACACGGCUCAACUUGGUGCUUCUUUGAUUCGGUUUUGAGGUUAUUGUGCGGGCGCUUUCAGCAAGUCCUCUGUACAAAUAAGUGGUUCAGCUGAAGCAUCACCAGUCGUUGGGUGCGAGCUAUAGUGUUCGCUUCUUUGGAAUCCGUUUGCUUCAGACAUCCUGGUUGGAUGGCAUCCGGAGCCUUGGUCCAAUGUUAACGCUUAGACAGGUGCUUGCAAUUCACGUCCUCAUCCAAGUACCCAUUGCACCUUUCCCUAAUAUUUCUGCUGGUAUAUGUUUUCCAACUUGGCAAUCAUCAUUGCAUGCUUUGGGAAUGUCAGUGAACAUGUAAAAGCACAAAUAUGCCAAAAAGGGCACAGUGUGGGGGCGGGCCAUAAUCAUAGAAAAAACUUGCAGUUUGAUGGGAGCCUGUUUGAACGUGUCCAACUCGUAAUGUUUACCUUUAUAUUUUGUCUCUUCCUGCUAUACAGGGAAAUAUAUACCAGGGUCAGGGGACAAUGAGUACAGUGUGGCAGCAAGGCAGGGUUAUUUGCUCUUAGUGAAGACUUUUCGGUCAUGAAGUUCUAAAAUGUUAAGUUGCAGAUCGGGGAAUCGUACAUGCCUCCCGAGGUAGCCUUGGUGACUAAUGAAAUCUAGUCUUGUGCAUGCACUGGGCAACGUUCUCCAUUUGGUGAGGUCGCUGCCCAUUCACCUGUCAUCAGCCUGGAGUGCAUGCCCAAUGGUGCAGGCACGUGUGUAUCUGCCUUUAUGGAGGAAAUUUUGCUGUUUUUUGAAGUUGUAUCAGUUAGUCUAGUAUGGUGCAGAGAUUAAUCUGAAGCCAUUAUCAGUGUGACAUCGUUCAAUCAAAAUGAAUGCUUAGAAGUGUUUGUGACAAAUGGCCUUUUAUUUGCUGCUCUUCAUAUGUACUGCUGUACAUUGUUUCUUUCUAGUAUUGCUCCAGAUCUAUGAAGUGCUUUUAGGCAUCUACCUUUGUAUUUUUUUUCGCUUCCUUUGACUAACACUUAUUGUCACUAAAAGGGUCGUUCGAUUGAGAGUAUGCAUCAGUACGCAAAUAUUUUGUCUAUUCUAAUGCAUAGUGCUACCAUAUGUCGUCUUUGCCCAGUGAAGUGUGAAUGCCCAUUGAGCUUCCAUAUUUGUCUCCAGACCAUAGCUACAGCUUACCAAACAUAUUUUCAAAAGGCUUCUGCUGUCGUGAUAGUUUGUAUUGUUGCUGUUCCAAAAACAAAUUGUGGUUGCUCAGACUUGUUCAAAUAAAACAUGCAUUCUAUGUUAUUUUUCU